rnacentral:misc_RNA from 1 species
GAUGAAGAACGCAGCGAAAUGCGAUAAGUAAUAUGAAUUGCAGAAUUCAGUGAAUCAUCGAAUCUUUGAACGCACAUUGCGCCCCCUGGUAUUCCGGGGGGCAUGCCUGUCCGAGCGUCAUUACAACCCUCAAGCUCAGCUUGGUGUUGGGCCCCGCCGCCCCGGCGGGCCCUAAAGUCAGUGGCGGUGCCGUCCGGCUCCGAGCGUAGUAAUUCUUCUCGCUCUGGAGGUCCGGUCGUGUGCUCGCCAGCAACCCCCAAUUUUUUUCAGGUUGACCUCGGAUCAGGUAGGGAUACCCGCUGAACUUAAGCAUAUCAAUAAGCGGAGGA